rnacentral:rRNA from 1 species
AUUGAACGCUGGCGGCAGGCCUAACACAUGCAAGUCGAGCGGAUGCAGGGAGCUUGCUCCUGGAUUCAGCGGCGGACGGGUGAGUAAUGCCUAGGAAUCUGCCUGGUAGUGGGGGAUAACGUCCGGAAACGGGCGCUAAUACCGCAUACGUCCUGAGGGAGAAAGCGGGGGACCUUCGGACCUCACGCUAUCAGAGCAGCCUAGGUCGGAUUAGCUAGUUGGUGGGGUAAAGGCCUACCAAGGCGACGAUCCGUAACUGGUCUGAGAGGAUGAUCAGCCACACUGGAACUGAGACACGGUCCAGACUCCUACGGGAGGCAGCAGUGGGGAAUAUUGGACAAUGGGCGAAAGCCUGAUCCAGCCAUGCCGCGUGUGUGAAGAAGGUCUUCGGAUUGUAAAGCACUUUAGGUUGGGAGGAAGGGCAGUAAGUUAAUACCUUGCUGUUUUGACGUUACCGGCAGAAUAAGCACCGGCUAACUUCGUG